GUGCUACUUUGUCGGAUGAUCAGAUGGUUGAUCGUAUCUCGAUUUUGAUAAAAUUUUAGUAUAUUAUUUCUGACAUCAUGAGCUACAAGUUGAAUGAUUUUAAUCUUUGAAAAGUUUUCUUCAAUAAUUAUUUCAAAUAUUCACAUGUUUGGUGAGAUAUGCGUUGGAAUUUCUAUAGUGCGCAUACAUAUGUGUUUCAAAUUUUUUUUUUAAACAAUAC
rnacentral:lncRNA from 1 species